rnacentral:rRNA from 1 species
UUACCGUAACUUCGGGAGAAGGUACGCUGUUGAUGGUGAAGGAUUUACUCCGUAAGCUAUCGGCGGCCUCAGAAACUAGGCCGCUGCAACUGUUUAUUAAAAACACAGCACUCUGCAAACACGAAAGUGGACGUAUAGGGUGUGAUGCCUGCCCGGUGCUGGAAGGUUAAUUGAUGGGGUUAGCGAAAGCGAAGCUCUUGAUCGAAGCCCCGGUAAACGGCGGCCGUAACAAUAACGGUCCUAAGGUAGCGAAAUUCCUUGUCGGGUAAGUUCCGACCUGCACGAAUGGCAUAAUGAUGGCGGCGCUGUCUCCAGUAGAGACUCAGUGAAAUCGAAAUCGCGGUGAAGAUGCCGUGUACCCGCGGCUAGACGGAAAGACCCCGUGAACCUUUACUGCAGCUUUGCAUUGAACUUUGACCUUACUUGUGUAGGAUAGGUGGGAGGCUUUGAAGCUCGGACGCCAGUUCGAGUGGAGCCAUCCUUGAAAUACCACCCUGGUAAUGUCGAGGUUCUAACCCAGAUCCGUUAUCCGGAUCGGGGACAGUGUAUGGUGGGUAGUUUGACUGGGGCGGUCUCCUCCUAAAGAGUAACGGAGGAGUACGAAGGUGCGCUCAGCGUGGUCGGAAAUCACGCAAUGAGUAUAAAGGCAAAAGCGCGCUUAACUGCGAGACCGACAAGUCGAGCAGGUACGAAAGUAGGUCUUAGUGAUCCGGUGGUUCUGUAUGGAAGGGCCAUCGCUCAACGGAUAAAAGGUACUCUGGGGAUAACAGGCUGAUACCGCCCAAGAGUUCAUAUCGACGGCGGUGUUUGGCACCUCGAUGUCGGCUCAUCUCAUCCUGGGGCUGAAGCAGGUCCCAAGGGUAUGGCUGUUCGCCAUUUAAAGAGGUACGCGAGCUGGGUUUAGAGCGUCGUGAGACAGUUCGGUCCCUAUCUACCGUGGGCGUUGGAGACUUGAGAGGAUCUGCUUCUAGUACGAGAGGACCGAAGUGGACGUACCUCUGGUGUUCGGGUUGUCACGCCAGUGGCACUGCCCGGUAGCUAUGUACGGACGGGAUAACCGCUGAAAGCAUCUAAGCGGGAAGCCUACCUUAAGAUAAGGUCUCCCUGGGGGUUUAACCCCCCUAAAGAGCCGUUAGAGACCAUGACGUUGAUAGGUUCGGUGUGGAAGUGCGGUGACGCAUGAAGCUAACGAAUACUAAUUGCUCGUGAGGCUUGACU